AUUGAACGCUGGCGGCAGGCCUAACACAUGCAAGUCGAGCGGCAGCGGGAAUGUAGCUUGCUACUUUUGCCGGCGAGCGGCGGACGGGUGAGUAAUGCCUGGGAAAUUGCCCAGUCGAGGGGGAUAACAGUUGGAAACGACUGCUAAUACCGCAUACGCCCUACGGGGGAAAGCAGGGGACCUUCGGGCCUUGCGCGGUUGGAUAUGCCCAGGUGGGAUUAGCUAGUUGGUGAGGUAAUGGCUCACCAAGGAGACGAUCCCUAGCUGGUCUGAGAGGAUGAUCAGCCACACUGGAACUGAGACACGGUCCAGACUCCUACGGGAGGCAGCAGUGGGGAAUAUUGCACAAUGGGGGAAACCCUGAUGCAGCCAUGCCGCGUGUGUGAAGAAGGCCUUCGGGUUGUAAAGCACUUUCAGCGAGGAGGAAAGGUUGAUGCCUAAUACGUAUCAACUGUGACGUUACUCGCAGAAGAAGCACCGGCUAACUCCGUGCCAGCCGCCGCAGUAAGAC
rnacentral:rRNA from 1 species